AUUGAACGCUGGCGGCAGGCCUAACACAUGCAAGUCGAACGAGUGGCGGACGGGUGAGUAAUGUCUGGGAAACUGCCCGAUGGAGGGGGGUAACUACUGGAAACGGUAGCUAAUACCGCAUACAAUCUGAUGUGCCCCGAUGGGAGUAGCUAGUAGGGGGGGGAACGGCGCACGGAGGUGACGAUCCCUAGCUGGUCUGAGAGGAUGACCAGACAAACUGGAACUGAGACACGGACCAGAGGCCUACGCGAGUCAGCAGUGGGGAAGAUUGGACAAUGGGAGAAAGCCGGAAGCAGCCAUGCCGCGUGUAUGAAGAAGGCCUUCGGGUUUUAAGGUACUUUCAGCGAGUAGGCGUUACUCGCAGAAGAAGCACCGGCUAACUCCGUGCCAGCAGCCGCGGUAAUAC
rnacentral:rRNA from 1 species